UACGUAGGUGGCAAGCGUUGUCCGGAUUUACUGGGCGUAAAGAGCGCGCAGGCGGUCGUGCAAGUCGCGUGUGAAAGCCCCCGGCUCAACUGGGGAGGGUCACGCGAUACUGUUCGACUCGAAGGCAGGAGAGGGAAGCGGAAUUCCCGGUGUAGUGGUGAAAUGCGUAGAUAUCGGGAGGAACACCAGUGGCGAAGGCGACUACCUGGCCUGUUCUUGACGCUGAGGCGCGAAAGCUAGGGGAGCAAACGGG
rnacentral:rRNA from 1 species